rnacentral:rRNA from 1 species
UAUGGUGCUAGGAUUGGGUUUCUACCUGGUCUUAGUAGGGUUCCCGUUCAUUUACUUUGUAGUAAAUUAGAGUGUUUAAAGUCAGCCUCUUUGGGCUUUGAAUAGCAUUAGCAUGGGAUAAUAGAAUAGGACUUUGGUUCUUAUUUUGUUGGUUUUCAGAACCUGAGUAAUGAUUAAUAGGGACAGUUGGGGGGCAUUUGUAUUUUGUUGUCAGAGGUGAAAUUCUUAGAUUUACGAAAGACAAACUAGUGCGAAAGCAUUUGCCAAGGAUGUUUUCAUUAAUCAAGAACGAAAGUUAGGGGAUCGAAGAUGAUUAGAUACCGUCGUAGUCCUAUACCAUAAACUAUGCCGACCAGGGGAUUUGUGGACGUUUAUUUUCAAAAAUGACUCCAUGAGCACCUUGUGAGAAAUCAUAAGUCUUUGGGUUCCGGGGG